CCGGGAUGUUCAUAACCCUUUGUUGUCCGACUCUGUUGCCUCCGGGGCGACCCUGCCUUCGGGCGGGGGCUCCGGGUGGACACUUCAAACUCUUGCGUAACUUUGCAGUCUGAGUAAACUUAAUUAAUAAAUUAAAACUUUUAACAACGGAUCUCUUGGUUCUGGCAUCGAUGAAGAACGCAGCGAAAUGCGAUAAGUAAUGUGAAUUGCAGAAUUCAGUGAAUCAUCGAAUCUUUGAACGCACAUUGCGCCCCCUGGUAUUCCGGGGGGCAUGCCUGUUCGAGCGUCAUUUCACCACUCAAGCCUCGCUUGGUAUUGGGCAUCGCGGUCCGCCGCGUGCCUCAAAUCGACCGGCUGGGUCUUCUGUCCCCUAAGCGUUGUGGAAACUAUUCGCUAAAGGGUGUUCGGGAGGCUACGCCGUAAAACAACCCCAUUUCUAAGGUUGACCUCGGAUCAGGUAGGGAUACCCGCUGAACUUAAGCAUAUCAAUAAGCGGAGGAA
rnacentral:rRNA from 1 species